rnacentral:rRNA from 1 species
UACCUGGUUGAUCCUGCCAGUAGCGUAUGCUUGUCUCAAAGCUUAAGCCAUGCAUGUCUAAGUAGAAGCCCUAGCAAGGCGAAACCGCGGAAGGCUCAUUAAAUCAGUCUGAAUCUAAAGGCAUUUGUUAGAAUCGAUUUUGUCGCAUUUUUACUUGGAUAACUGUGGUAAUUCUAUAGCUAAUACAUGGACACCGUGGUACCACUGUUUCACCUACGGCUGAAACAGAGACCGCUAUUGUUGCAUGGAACGCACUGGGAUUCUCAGGAAUUUCAAUAAAAACGAUGAAUCACAACAAAUUAGCCGAGCGUAUGGUCUCGAACCGACGCUGUACCUUUCGAGCGACUGCCUUAUCAGCUUUCGAUUGUAGGGUAUUGUCCUACAAUGGCGAUAACGGGUAACGGGGAAUCAGGGUUCGAUUCCCGGAGAGGGAGCCUGAGAAACGGCUACCACAUCUAAGGAAGGCAGCAGGCACGCAAAUUACCCACUCUCAGCACGGGGAGGUAGUGACAAAAAAUAACGAUGCGUGUCUCUUUCUGAGGCCUCGCAAUCGGAAUGGAUUUAUACUUAAAUCACUGAAUGAGGAGCAAUUGGAGGGCAAGUCUGGUGCCAGCAGCCGCGGUAACUCCAGCUUCAGUAGCGUACGUUAACGUUGCUGCGGUUAAAAAGCUCGUAGUUGGACCUUAAGUGCGGACGGUCGAUUCACCCAUCGGAAUGCUAGCGGUCAAAGGAGUCAAAUCCGGAGGCCAAUAGCCUCGUUGGCUGAUAUCAACGGCCGAUUAUUCCGUCACUUGAUGAAGAUUUGUCGGUUUAUAUGUGUGUUGGGCACUCUCUCGGGUGUUCUAGCUCACGUGGCUGACAAUGUCACUUUGCAAAAAUGAGAACGAUUAAGGUAGGCUGAAUGCCAUGAAUAUUCAUGCAUAGUACGAGAGAAUAGGACUUUGUCUCUGUUUGGUGCACAGAAUGAUGAAGUAAUGAUUAAGAGAGACAGACGGGGACGUUCGUACUGCGGCGUUAGAGGUGAAAUUCUUGGAUCGCUGCAAGACGAACAAUCGCGAAGGCAUUCGUCCAGAACGCUUUUCUUAAUCAAGAACGAAAGUUAGAGGAUCGAAGGCGAUCAGAUACCGCCCUAGUUCUAACCGUAAACGAUGCUGACCGGCUAUUAGUCGGUGUUAUACCCAAACACACGAUUAGCAACCCCCGGGAAACCAGAGUCUUUGUGUUCCGGGGGGAUGUAUGGUUGCAAGGCUGAAACUUAAAAGGAAUUGACGGAAGGGCACCACCAGGAGUGGACUGCGGCUUAAUUUGACUCAACACGGGAAAACUUACCAGGACAGGACAUCGGAAGGACUGACAGAUUUUAAGCUCUUUCUCGAUUCGAUGGGUAGUGGUGCAUGGCCGUUCUUAGUUGGUGGAGUGAUUUGUCUGGUUAAUUCCGAUAACGAACGAGAUUUUGCCCUGCUAAUUAGUCUGCUGAUUAUAUCGGGUCGUCUGUUCCUUCGGGUUCAGCGGCUUGGAACCUCAUGGCUUGGGUAUGCUUCGAUUGGGGGUGUAGGUGGUGCUUUGGGAAGACGGUGUGUUUGCGUCGGUUCUUCUGAGCUGUGCAGCACGCUGUUGGAUUAUUGCCUGUAAGCUUACGCUCUCGGUUGGUAUUCCUUGCCGAUUGUGGUGUCAGUAUUGUGUCUUCUUAGAGGGAACGGCAUCGUAUAGUUGCACGAGAUUGAGCAAUAACAGGUCUGUGAUGCCCUUAGAUGUCUUGGGCUGCACGCGCGCUACAAUGGAGAGAUCAACGCGCUUUCUACCUGCUCCGAGAGGAGUUGGGAACCCGCUGAAAUCUCUCCUCAAUUGGGAUUGCGGUUUGAAAUUGUUCCUCAUGAACGAGGAAUUCCUGGUAAGCGUGAAUCAAUCAGUUCACGAUGAUUACGUCCCUGCCCUUUGUACACACCGCCCGUCGCUACUACCGAUUGAAUGAUUCAGUGAGGCUAUUGGACUGGCACCCCAGAAUAGAAAUUUAUUUCUUUCCGGGGGUUGACGGGAAGAUGUCCAAACUGGAUCAUUUAGAGGAAGUAAAAGUCGUAACAAGGUUUCCGUAGGUGAACCUGCGGAAGGAUCAUUA